rnacentral:rRNA from 1 species
CUGCUGCCUCCCGUAGGAGUCUGGUCCGUGUCUCAGUACCAGUGUGGGGGACCUUCCUCC